UACGGAGGGAGCUAGCGUUGUUCGGAAUUACUGGGCGUAAAGCGCACGUAGGCGGCUUUGUAAGUUAGAGGUGAAAGCCCGGAGCUCAACUCCGGAACUGCCUUUAAAACUGCAUCGCUUGAAUCCAGGAGAGGUGAGUGGAAUUCCGGAGUGUAGAGGUGAAAUUCGUAGAUAUCGGAAGAACACCAGUGGCGAAGGCGGCUCACUGGACUGGUAUUGACGCUGAGGUGCGAAAGCGUGGGGAGCAAACAGG
rnacentral:rRNA from 1 species